ensembl:misc_RNA Metazoa_SRP Metazoan signal recognition particle RNA
GCCAGGCAUGGUGGCACAUGCCUAUCUUCCCAGCUACUUGGGAGGCUGAUGGGAGGAUCACUCGAGCCCAAGAGCUCUGGGCUGUAGUGUGCUAUGCCAGUCAGGUGUCUGUACUAAAUUCAGCAUCAGUAUGAUGACCUUCCAGGAGCAGGGGACUAUGAGGUUGCCUAAGGAGACAUGAACUGGCCCAGGUCAGAAAUGGAGCAGGUCAAAACACCUACGCCAAUCAGUAGUGGGAUCACGCCUAUGAAUAGCCACUGUACUCCAGACUGGGCAACAUAGUGAUACUCCAUCUGU